CUUAAACACAACCAUAUCCUGGUUCCACAUAAAUAUUAGUUUGAAGCAAGCCUGAGAAGCGCACCAGAGAACUCAUCAACCAUUUGAAUACUUAUUUUUCCCGUGUACAUGGGUUUGCAUAUUGUGCGAGCUUGCCGCAAAGGAAUUCAAAACAGUUGAGACAAGCAUGAAGGUGAAGGGAUACACAAACAUAACCCAAUACAGAAUGAACCUUGCCACUGUUCAUUAUGGUGAUCAGAAGGAAGAUGAAUGUUAGGUUUGAAAGGAUACUGCACUUGUGACUUUUGAUUUGAGGUCAUACACAAUAAGGUCAUCCACUAUAAGUUGAGUGUUGUAGCUCUUUAGUUGUAAUAGUAUUUGCUAACAGUAAUUAUUAUAAUAAUAAAGGUGUACUAUGAAGCUAUAAAGUGGUCAAAAUCAAGUCUAUCAACCUCAUGUAAUACAGGUCAUAUAGACACUUAAACCGUCAAAGAAUUUUGAGGACUUCUAUUUGAACAGUUCAUAGGAAGCUUGAGAUCAACAACAAUAAAUAGUUUAUCUCAACAACAAUAAAUAUUCUCUUCAACUCUGCUUCAAUCUUAAUGUUGUUGAGUCAGCCUCCAUUCUACUCAAUUAUCAUCACAUUCUAAAUCCUUCCUAAGUAUUUCACCCCAUGUCAGCUAUAUACCUCCUGUUGUCUUCACUCCAAUAACUUGAAUGUCUUGUAUUGAUGGAUCCACAUUUGUUAAGGGCGCGCCCCAGGCGUGCCUAAGGUGCAAGGCAACGCAGGCUCUUGGCUCAAUGCCUUGAAGCUCUCCAGGCGGGCGGUCUUCCUAAGGUGAGCCCAAGUGGCCGAGGCGCACCAAGGCGCAAGGCACACCCCAACCACACCAGGCUCAGAAAUUCUAUUUUCUUUAGACCAUCGGACAAAAAAAAAAGAGAAGAAGAAGAAGGAGGAGGAGGAGGAGAUAAUGUUGAGCAACAAUCAAGAGGCUCUGAUUUGGAAUGAGACAUCACCAAUAAUAUGCUAGUUCAAUCAUACAAGACUCACAGAUCCCACAAAAUAUUGAACACAAAAUUAUAAAUCCCAGAUUAGAAAUGCAAGUUUCCACAGAGGACUCAGAUAAUAAAUGAAGCUCAAUAGCUUUGCAGUGUUGGAUGGUACAAAGAUCGGAGAGAGAAUUACCAAGAAGUCAACAAUGCAAGUGUUUGACGAAGACCCAAAUGAGAAAAAAGUGCAAGAAAAUAGCCAGAGAAAAUGAGAAAAUAGCAAAAAUAAAAUACCCAAAUGGGAGAUAAUCUUGAAACUUUCUUCGCUUAAGGCCAAAGAAAAUGAAGUAUCAUAUGAACAAACACAAGCCAAUGGAAAAGGGAAGCUGAGAAAGAAAUGGAAAUGUGCUUUUAAGUGCCUGGAAGAGAGAGAUCACAAGUUCAGGAAGGUAAGGUAGGUGAAAGAUGAUUCACUUGAAGUAUUUCAAGAAAAAAAAAAUCUUGACUAAAAAAAUAAACAUCAUCAGGCGUAAAAAAAAAAUUAAAAAUAAGAAAAUAGAAAAUCUGAACAAUUUAUAUAAAAGAACAAAAGAAAGUAGACAGUGGGAUAAAUGCAAACAGACGAAGAAAACAUCCGGGCGCUUGAUGCUCUGUUCGCACGCAAAAUUCCCUUCUUUUUUUAACUAAAAAUUAUGGAUUAUCACUAUUAUUAUUGAGAGGGAAACAAAUAAAUUGCUGCUUUUUAGUUCAUGUGGAGGCUGCUGGAUUUCUGCAGCAAAAAGUUGC
rnacentral:misc_RNA from 1 species